rnacentral:tRNA from 1 species
GCGCCUGUAGCUCAGUGGAUAGAGCGACUGCCUCCUAAGCCGUAGGUCGGGUGUUCGAAUCGCCCCAGGCGCGCCA